rnacentral:rRNA from 1 species
AGAGUUUGAUCCUGGCUCAGGAUGAACGCUGGCGGCGUGCUUAACACAUGCAAGUCGAACGAAGCACUUAAGACGGAUUACUUCGGUUUGAAGUCUUUUGUGACUGAGUGGCGGACGGGUGAGUAACGCGUGGGUAACCUGCCUCACACAGGGGGAUAACAGUUGGAAACGACCGCUAAUACCGCAUAAGCCAACGAAAUCGCAUGAUUUUGCUGGAAAAGAUUUAUCGGUGUGAGAUGGACCCGCGUCUGAUUAGCCAGUUGGCAGGGUAACGGCCUACCAAAGCGACGAUCAGUAGCCGGCCUGAGAGGGUGAACGGCCACAUUGGGACUGAGACACGGCCCAAACUCCUACGGGAGGCAGCAGUGGGGAAUAUUGCACAAUGGGGGAAACCCUGAUGCAGCGACGCCGCGUGAGUGAAGAAGUAUUUCGGUAUGUAAAGCUCUAUCAGCAGGGAAGAAAAUGACGGUACCUGACCAAGAAGCCCCGGCUAACUACGUGCCAGCAGCCGCGGUAAUUC